UAUAUAUUUCACUUGCCUAUAAACAAAAUUCUGCCACUACAGAACAUAUAUAUCAUUUCAACUAGCAGUUGUCUUAGUGGCUAAAGCAACAAGAAAUUCUCUGUAAUCCCCAGAUGGAAUGCUCUCACAUAUUGCAUCUCUCAGUUCCAUCUCAUAUUUCUUCUUGAACAUCCCUUGAAUCUCAUCCAUGUCAACGUCUGCUCUGCUCAUCAUCACCCUUGUCAAGGCACCUCUAUCAGCUGUUGUCCCUCUAAUGCUGGCAUACAAUGCCUGCAACCAGUUUUUUGACAAACCUAUGAGAUUUUCCGAUGAAAAUUUCCUUUUGUAUUGUGAGUGGUUUCACAAACCAACUUAAUUAGCCGUUAAGAUAAGUUCAUUUUUUUGGUUUAAUCAAAAGUAGACCAUCCAUGUCAGACUAGAAAAUAUACAACAUGCUUAGCCUAAUCAAAAGUUAAAACCUAUAUAGAUAAAAGUAAAGAACAGAAAUUACACACCUUUGCAUAAUAAUUAGGCGGAUUGCACAUGCAUUUUAUGACUGUUUUAAGUGAAUCUUCAAAUUCCCUAGAAUUUCCCUUCUUGAGUUUCUGCAAAGUAGAGCUCAAACAAAAGAAAUCACUAGCUUAACACAGAAAUACUAAAGGGAGUUUACCAAAUAGAAUUACUGUAAUUGGUACAUUUUCAGAUUGUUAUAUGUCAGGAUUAUGAGUUCUACACUCAUACUUUUCCUUAAAAAAAAAAAAAGAAAUCAAUGAGAAUUAAUUGUCAGAUGUUAUACCGUAGUGUACUCAUGUCCAUAGAUGUGUUUAUAGCUAGAAAGCGUGAGUUUCAUCUGUGGAAUACUCCUUUUACUUAGGAUCUCAAGCACAACAGCUUCUUCACUGGCUCCUGAACACCCCUCCCCUGCUUCAUGCAGCCUCUUAGCAUCACAUUUAGCAAUAUGUUGGCUAACAUCUGCUUGGUGAGCCUUGUGUGAUGCUGCUAAUGCUACCAGAAUCUUCUGGAGUGGAUGGGGUGGUUCAAGAUUGAUAAUAUCUUGAUCCAAUUGCCUUCUGAAUCUUGAUUGAUAGGCUUGUUUGAUGAGCAUAAUAUGACUUGACUUUCUACCCACAAAGAUUUCAACAAGAGCCCUGUAGUUAGUAUCACCUUGUUCAAGAGCUUCCUUGGCCACAAUAGCAUCACGUUCAUGUGGGUGUACCAUCCACAAAGACAAGGCUGCAAAAACUUUAGAUCCAAUUUUAGCCUCAUUUCUUUGGUCACUAGAGAUACACAUCCUUUCAAGAAAACUUGUUAUAUCUUCUCCAUACAUUGCCUUGUAAGUCUCUCUAAUCUGUUGCCUUUCAAUCUUGGACUUGGUAGCUAAUGAUCGAACCAACUGGUUCACCCUUCCCCAAGAAUCAUGAAUCUCUUUGCAUUCUAUCUCGAACCCUUGGCUAGAUGAGGUUAGAAUCUUGGUUCCCAUAGCAGAAGAAUUAAGAUUCUGGGUUUCUAAUGCAUAUCAGGAAGAACCCAAUUUGUUAUUUAUAUAGGCAGAAAGCCAUGACUUGGGGCCAAGGGAAGGGAUUUCUCUUUUGUUGAUGUGGGUGUGGGUGUUCUUCAAGUUUGGAGUUUAGACCAACAAUUCAAAGUCCAUAUAAAAAGUGAAAACCAGAAGUUUCUGUGCAUUCUGAGUAGAAAGUG
rnacentral:misc_RNA from 1 species